UUCUCACCACCACACAUAUCAGUUCUUCUUUCUUUCUCAACCCACCUAAAACCCUAAAACAUUUCUUUCUCAACCCAUCUGAAACCCUAAAACCAUUCAUCUCUUGCUAAUUCCUUCUCACCGUCAUUUCAUCACAAUUCACAAUCGCGAAACCAACUAGUUUGGAUUUCAUCUAUUGCUAACCAUCCUCUCAUUGUCAUUUCAUCACGAAACCAUUCUCUAAUGCUAACCCAACGGGUUCAGAUUUCUUCUGCAACCGUGAAACCAACAAGUUCUCUUAAACCACCCUUAAACCGCAACAGCAAAGUGAAGUCCUCAUUCUUUGUCGUCUCGUCGGUUACCGUGAACCAGAAGAACUUGAGAUAUUGGAUUUUCCAUGUAAUCAAUAUUUGAAGCAAGAGUCUGGGAAUAGCAAGGAGACUGAGCAAUUAUUCUGUACAAGAUAUAAAACUAAAUAUUCGAUUUUUGGAAAGUUAAUGUGUAGAUAGUUUGUGUAAAACGUCUCAAUGGGUUGCUGAUAGUUUUUUGGCCUUACUUUGUAAAUAAGCUUAUUGUGCUGAGUAUAUAUUUUGUUAACCUUUGGGCUAGUCGAAAGUAGUUUCUAUGAUUUUACGUUUCCCUUCUCUAGUGUCUAUUUAGCCUUGAAUCAUGAGAAGUAUUUGAAUAGAUCUUUCAUAUGUGUAGUUUUAAUUUUGUAAAUAAUUUCUUAAGUCAUAUGAGAAUCGGGUGACUCAAUUUACUGAUAUAAGAGUUUAAAUUCAUCUUUUUAA